rnacentral:lncRNA from 1 species
CCUCUGGCCUCACCUGCGAAGUUCUUGGUGAAGACCAGGGUGACCAGCAGGAUGGGGACGAGCACGGUGCCGAUGGUGACCACGCGGUCAAACGGCAGCUCCAGCUUGAGCUGCAGCAGCAGCGCGGCCAGCGCGCCCGCCUUGUCGUCCUGCGCGCCGGGCAGGAUCAGCUCGCGCAGCUUCUCCCCGGCCAGCAGCGCCGUCGCCAUGUCCGUGGACGGCUCCAGGAGGUGGUGCAUGGGGGGCGCGGAGGACCCGGGGCGCGGGGCCCGCGGGGGGGGGGGGGGGGGGGGGGGGGCCCGCCGCGCCCGCCNNNNNNNNNNNNNNCUCGCGGCGUAGAUCCGCCUCCCACCCCCCACCCCCGCACGCAGAUGCGGCGCCGGCGAUGACUUAGCAAAAAAUAUUUAAAUGAAAUAAAAUGAAUGAACAAUGACUGGUCCCUCCGCCUACUCAGGGUGGGAAAGAGGGAAAGGCCGAGCGGGUGGGGUGGUUCCCCUCUCCCGGCGCGCCGGGGCGGCGGCACGCGGGCGAAACGCGGGAAGACCUGCGGCGUCCCGGGCCCCCCUCUUCCAGCCCCGCGUCCGGGAGCCGCCCGACCGGCGGAGAGGGGUUCGCCGCCCGCCUCCCGGCGUCCCUCUCCGCUCCCUACCGAUGCCUGGCCGCCACAGUGGGCGCUUAGGCCCCCACCCACCCGGGGUGUUACGGACACAGAGGAGGGGGCUGGCACCCCUCCCAGCUCGGGGAGCGGGCAGGUGGACGCUACGGGCGUCUCCUCCCGGCCCCUCCACUGCAGCCGGCGUCCCCGGCGCCCACACCCCGACCCAUAGCCUGGGUGAGCGUCUCCUUUCCCCUCGCCACACCUCCACGUGGCCCCAAGGCCUCUCCAGCCCGGCACCUAUCACCCCACCACUCUAUCACCCCGUCCCUUUGCCACUGUCAAACGCAUUCUCCAGACCGGCCUCCUGGCACAGGCUCCGGGGUCCCUGCCACCUUCCUGACCUUCAUCCCCCUCCACUCGGACCCUGCGGUACCCACCCUCAGGAACCCACGCCAUUGUAA